rnacentral:rRNA from 1 species
UACGGGGGGGGCUAGCGUUGUUCGGAAUUACUGGGCGUAAAGGGCGCGUAGGCGGCCUACUAAGUCGGACGUGAAAUCCCCGGGCUCAACCUGGGAACUGCAUCCGAAACUGCCUUGCUCGAGUAUGGGAGAGGGAAGUGGAAUUUCCGGUGUAGCGGUGAAAUGCGUAGAUAUCGGAAGGAACAUCAGUGGCGAAGGCGACUUCCUGGACCAAUACUGACGCUCAGGUGCGAAAGCGUGGGGAGCAAACAGG